AACACGCUGCCGACAAAUUUCCUUAUCCCGUCUGCCGUUCCUUCACCUCGAUCCCCUUCUCUGGUCCUUUUCUCAUCUGAUCCGCUUCGCCUCUACUGCUUCGCCUCUCCUCGUCUCCGUGUGAUUCGCCAUCACCACCUCGCCGCUUCCCUACUGGUUGUGACGGCGGCGCUCGCUGGAUGGCAUGGUGGAGGUGGUAGAGGGUGGCGGAGGCGGAGCAGUCGAGGUCCUCGGCGUCGCGCGUGUGGUGGGGCAGAAAGUGGAAGGGGAAGAAUGACGCCAUCCAGAGAAGGAGGCAUAGGAUCUAAAAGAUCGAGCCUGCCCCUCACGCAAGGUGAGUCCCCCACCCUCUCCAUUGUUUCUCGAGGUAGUAGAUGCAGAUCCACCAGUUGGUGUGAUUUUUGCUCGGUGAGUGUUUGUCGCCAGCCGGGCAUGGGUGCUCUGAUUGGUCACCGUGGUUCAGCGAGAACAUUUUUGUCAUCUCCGGUUCAUAGUUGGCCAGUCAAUGGAAGGAUUGCUGGCAUGAUGCGUUGUUGUACUAGAAAAUGUGAUCCUUUCUGUUGGAUAGGUCGUUGAAAGGUGUAGAAGCAACGACAAUCUAGAGACGGUAAUAAUUUCUGUGUUUUGCAUUCGCAGGCAGAGUAACAAUGAAUUGCCACUAUUGUUUGGAUAGGAAGAGGGAGGGGAGAAGGAAUCUGCAUUUUUGAGUGCAAGCUGGGCAAGUUGCAAGCAGCACUUAGACAAGCACAUGUCAAUAGGGACAAAACUCUUCUCAUUUUUCGUGCAAAACGGAUCCAUGGUUUUUUAGGUGAUACAAUAUUAAACCAUAGACACAGUGUACGUUUUCUUUUGUCACUGCCCUCGCAACGGCAGCGGAACCCCAACAGCUCCACCUUCUUGUGGCACGCUGCGCACCGGUUUGCUGCCAUCGCCGGCUGUUUCACGGAUGGUGGCACGGAGCGGUCAAAAACUGUUAAGUAUGUGAUUUGCUUGUUAUUUUUUAGGCAAACUCUGUGACUUUGCAUGUUUAUGAACGUGUAGUUUACCUAACACACAACCCCCUCUCCCUCCACACUUGAUGUUUGUUUAGGCAAAUUAUUUCUAAGUUUUUUCAAACAAACUAACCUAUAACUUACUCUGUUUGGUGAAUUGUUUGGACUAUGUACUAGCUAAUUGUAACCUGUGGAGAGAUAGUUAAGCAUAUAUGUUUUGCAAAAAGAGGACAUGUUGUAUCUUUUUACCGAGCUUAGAGGCACUUUCAGAGUUUCAGAACUGGGAUUCACUUUUGAUCAACCUGAGCACAAGUGUUUGGGGGGGAGGGGGCUUUUAGGCGAGAGAAAAAUAGUUUACAUGUUUUCUACCAACAAGCAAGGAAUAACACGUGAAUUUUUUCUGGUUUAUUAGUUCCCACUAGAGCAUCUAUUAUUCUGUCGAGGAAGAAGUAAAGACUAAUUGGUGUAUUUUUUGUGAUUGCCAACUGAUGAGACUGUCUGGGAAAGAAUAGUUCUCGAUGUAAUUCUUCAUGUGCCUACCACAUUGACAUUCUGUUCGGCUAUUUUUUCGGUUGUGUCGAAUAUAGUUUUCAAGCAAGUCCUGCACAUCAACCGCAAAUAAUAUAGUUUUCAAGCAAGUCCUGCUAUUUUUUCCGGUUGUGUCGAAUAUCUACCAUUUUUAGAGAAGUAAAAGUCAGGCAAAAUGACAUCUUAGGCACACAUUAGUAGGUGGUAGUGAGUAUUUUAGGAUGAUCAGGAUUAUGGAAAUAGACUUUCCAAAAAUCUGUUUGUCCACAAUAAUAGGCAAGUCACACAUUAAACUAUAGCAAGUCUCUUGCAGUUGUCAGGCAAAUCUUGAUUUUUGGAGUUGUCGCAAGUCACACGUAAAAUACUUUGCAAGGCCGAUAUAGUUGUCAAGCAAGUCCUGCUUUUCUCCUAUGCGCACCUUUUUUAAGGUGGUAUAAAAGGUUUUUGGGAUGUUCAGAAUGUGGAAACAGUAUUUUUUUCAAAACUUUGUUGUCCACAAAAUAAUAGGCAAGUCACGCAUAAAACUGAAGCAAGUCGUAUACAUGGUGUCAAGCAAAUCCUGAUCUUUGGUACUCAGAGCGGAAUCAAACCGAAACUACCUUUUCAUUUGUAUUCAUUUUCUUAGUAAUAAAUGGUUUUUUCGUUGUUGUCCAACAAAUAACAGCUCAAGAAGGAGUUUUCCGGGUGUGUGGAUGAUAGUUUGUUCAGCAGCAUGGACCAUGCCAUGAAAUUGGUGACGGCAAGACUCCCAGACUCAUAUGACAAAAAGGUCAGCCAUUCUUUUGAUCUUUUUGUCAUGUAAUUGACUAUUGCGGCUGCUAUGUUACUGCAAGGGAGCUCGUAAACUCAAUGAAGAGAAUGGUUUUCUCCUAUCCCCUGUUGUCGAAGUUGGCAUUGAGUAUAUAAUGAAAAAAUUGCCGCUAGACUCAAAGAAGGUGAUGCUUCUUUAGAUUCUCGGUAAAGUGGUGUAAGGUUCAGAGUUCAACACAAUCUAGCUCUAGUAGAAAUGGAUUUCAGUUACAAGGAGAGCAGUUAAUUUGGGAAUUUAUUGCUAGGGUUUCACUUGCUUAUACAGUGGCAGUAAGUUGCCUAAAAGAUGCCCAACAAGUUGUUUUAGAUCCAUAUGCAAUAUUGGUUAGUUUUUAUUUCUUUCACGUCGCAAAAAGGACACAACUUGCUUACACAGUGGUAGUAAGUUGCCUAAAAAAAGCAUCAAGUUGUUUUAGAUCCAUAUACAAGGCUCCUUAGUUUAGUUUUUUCCCACGUCACAAAAUGACACGACUUGCUUACACAGUGGUAAUAACUCGCCUAAAAGAUUCAAACAAGUUUUUUUAGAUCCAUAUGGAAGGUUCCUUAGUUUUUAUUUCUCUCACAUCACAAAAAGGACACAACUUGCUUACACAGUGGCAGUAAGUUGCCUAAAAGAUACCCAUCAAAUUGUUUCAGAUCCAUAUACAAGGUUCCUUAGUUUAAUUUUUCCCCAUGUCACAAAAUGACACGACUUGCUUACAUAGUGGCAGUAACUUGCCUAAAAGAUUACAAACAAGUUGUUUUAGAUCCAUAUGCAAGGUUCCUUAGUUUUUAUUUCUCCCACAUCACAAAAAGGACACAACUUGCUUAUAAAGUGGCAGUAAGUUGCCUAAACAACCUCAUGACCUUCCUACAGUUUUUCAGGGGAUACAUGAUUUGCUCAAUUCAACCCACUUUUUUUUUGCUUACAAGUGCUCAAGUAGUUGUUUACACCUUUUUUUUGCACAUUAAGUCUCGAGCACCCUGGAGAACACAGGAGUUGCUCACUGGUAACACUGUUUUCGCUUAAACAAAGCCUACAGGUUGCUACAAGUUGCUCACAUCCUUUUCUUUACGCACAUUAAGUCUCUUUUUUAGGAGCUCUGCCUUUUCAUUAAGAAGAUAAUUGACUAGUUAAUAAAAAAAUUGGUCGAAGACGAUACACAUCAAGUUCUAGCACGCACGAGCACACAGGAAUUGCUUACUGGCAAACACUGAUUUUACUUAAACAAACUUUGAAAAUUGUUGCUCUUUUUUUUUUUUCAACAUACUUGUAGUACAAAAAGCAACCUAAGAAAAACAUCGAGGGGUUUCGCUGGAUGUACAACAGCCAGUAGUUGGACAAAGAAAACUGAAACAGUUUUCAUGUACUGACAUGACUUGCCUAUUGUCAAUUUUGAUUUGCUUAAAAAACUACUACAGUUAUUCACACUUGUUUCUCCUACACAUCAAGUUCUAGCACGCACGAACACACAAGAGUUGCUUACUGCCAACACUGAUUUUGCUUAAAAACACCCUAGAACUUGUCUCCUCUUUUUUGUUUUCUCAACACACUCCUAGUCAAAAAGUAACCUAAGAAAAGUAUCAGGGGGUUUCUCCGGAUGUACAACAACCAGUAGUUGGAGAAAGGAAAAGGAAACAAUUUUCAUGUACUAUCAGGACUAGCUUUUUGUCAAUACUUGAUUUGCUUAAAACCCCGCUAUAGUUGCUCACUAAACCCGCUAUAUGCGAUAGAGGCGGGAUAGGGAGGUUGAAGAGGGGUGUGUGGGGUCUUAGGUUUCUAGGGCGAAUCGAUGGUUUUUGAAUGCGUGGGUGGUUUGUGGCAUGGGGAUGCGGGGGCUAGAAGCGUCGACAAUUUGAGAAGAAAGUGUCCAAAACUUGCCCAACGCAUGAUGGUUAGUUGCUAGAGAUACCGGCGCGGGUUGCCGAAAGAUCCUCUCCCGAGAGUACUGGGUUUAUUUUGCCCAAAACUUGCCCGAGCCAUGCUAGUUAGUUGCUAGAGAGGCUGGCAUGAGCGGCCCAAAGAUACAUUUUAGAAACAAAUUCAUUUAUAAUUGGAACCAAAGUUUCCAUUUACAAUAGGAUAUGUUGUCUGCAUAUAAACAUUACUUGCCUAAAUCACCAUUAAAAGUUGCCCCAUAUACCACCUGAAUUGCUUCCUAUACAAUUGGUAGCCAACUUAGAAGGCAUGGGAUAAAUAUGUAAUCGCGAUAGGCAAUCUACUGCAAAGUUGCUUUCUGUAGCACCAAAGUUGCCCCAGAUGCCAGCAAAGUUGCUUGAAAAAAAAGUUCAUCGAAACAUAUCCAUAUGAGAUCUUGUUUUGAAGAUCUUGCUGCGAGAAACCUAAUGGUGAAAACAGAAAUUAGUUUUGACGCUCGGUUUAAAAGUUGCAGCUUUUUGUAUUUGCUUGGAAUGAAAUUAAAUGCAUGUGAUGCAUUUCUAACUUGUUUGCCGCGUGCUAUUGCAGGAAGGAGUUACAGGAGAUGGAACCACUGGUGGGGCGGUAGAAUUUUUUUCUGUUGAGGGCGAUAGUGUGUAGGAGCAACCUUUCCUUUUUAGGAUAAUGUGUGGACAUGUAUUUACUUUUUUGGGGUGUGUGCUCCAGGGGACUAGCCAGCCAACGGUUGCUGGCUAGCCGUCGUUGAAAGGUGUAGAAGCAACGACAAUCUAGAGACCGUAAUAAUUUCUGUGUUUUGCAUUCCCAGGCAGAGUAACAAUGAAUCGCCACUAUUGUUUGGAUAGGAAGAGGGAGGGGAGAAGGAAUCUGCAUUUUUGAGUGCAAGCGGGGCAAGUUGCAAGCAGCACUUAGACAAGCACAUGUCAAUAGGGACAAAACUCUUCUCAUUUUUCGUGCAAAACGGAUCCAUGGUUUUUUUAGGUGAUACAAUAUUAAACCAUAGACACAGUGUGCGUUUUCUUUUGUCACUGCCCUCGCAACGGCGGCGGAACCCCAACAGCUCCACCUUCUUGUGGCACGCCGCGCACCGGUUUGCUGCCACCGCCGGCUGUUUCACGGAUGGUGGCACGGAGCGGUCAAAAACUGUUAAGUAUGUGAUUUGCUUGUUAUUUUUUAGGCAAACUCUGUGACUUUGCAUGUUUCUGAACGUGUAGUUUACCUAACACACAACCCCCUCUCCCUCCACACUUGAUGUUUGUUUAGGCAAAUUAUUUCUAAGUUUUUUCAAACAAACUAACCUAUAACUUACUCUGUUUGGUGAAUUGUUUGGACUAUGUACUAGCUAAUUGUAACCUGUGGAGAGAUAGUCAAGCAUAUAUGUUUUGCAAGAAGAGGACAUGUUGUAUCUUUUUACCGAGCUUAGAGGCACUUUCAGAGUUUUAGAACUGGGAUUCACUUUUGAUCAACNNNNNNNNNNNNNNNNNNNNNNNNNNNNNNNNNNNNNNNNNNNNNNNNNNNNNNNNNNNNNNNNNNNNNNNNNNNNNNNNNNNNNNNNNNNNNNNNNNNNNNNNNNNNNNNNNNNNNNNNNNNNNNNNNNNNNNNNNNNNNNNNNNNNNNNNNNNNNNNNNNNNNNNNNNNNNNNNNNNNNNNNNNNNNNNNNNNNNNNNNNNNNNNNNNNNNNNNNNNNNNNNNNNNNNNNNNNNNNNNNNNNNNNNNNNNNNNNCAUGUUUUCUACCAACAAGCAAGGAAUAACACGUGAAUUUUUUCUGGUUUAUUAGUUCCCACUAGAGCAUCUAUUAUUCUGUCGAGGAAGAAGUAAAGAAUAAUUGGUGUAUUUUUUGUGAUUGCCAACUGAUGAGACUAUCUGGGAAAGAAUAGUUCUCGAUGUAAUUCUUCAUGUGCCUACCACAUUGACAUUCUGUUCGGCUAUUUUUUUGGUUGUGUCGAAUAUAGUUUUCAAGCAAGUCCUGCACAUCAACCGAAAAUAAUAUAGUUUUCAAGCAAGUCCUGCUAUUUUUUUCCGGUUGCGUCGAAUAUCUACCAUUUUUAGAGAAGUAAAAGUCAGGCAAAUGACAUCUUAGGCACACAUUAGUAGGUGGUAGUGAGUAUUUUAGGAUGAUCAGGAUUAUGGAAAUAGACUUUCCAAAAAUCUGUUUGUCCACAAUAAUAGGCAAGUCACACAUUAAACUAUAGCAAGUCUCUUGCAGUUGUCAGGCAAAUCCUGAUUUUUGGAGUUGUCGCAAGUCACACGUAAAAUACUUUGCAAGGCCGAUAUAGUUGUCAAGCAAGUCCUGCUUUUCUCCUAUGCGCACCUUUUUUAAGGUGGUACAAAAGGUUUUUGGGAUGUUCAGAAUGUGGAAACAGUAUAUUUUUAAAAACUUUGUUGUCCACAAAAUAUUAGGCAACUCACACAUAAAACUGAAGCAAGUCCUAUACAGGGUGUCAAGCAAAUCCUGAUCUUUGGUACCCAGAACGGAAUCAAACCGAAACUACCUUUUCAUUUGUAUUCAUUUUCUUAGUAAUAAAUGGUUUUUUCGUUGUUGUCCAACAAAUAACAGCUCAAGAAGGAGUUUUCCGGGUGUGUGGAUGAUAGUUUGUUCAGCAGCAUGGACCAUGCCAUGAAAUUGGUGACGGCAAGACUCCCAGACUCAUAUGACAAAAAGGUCAGCCAUUCUUUUGAUCCUUUUGUCAUGUAAUUGACUAUUGCGGCUGCUAUGUUACUGCAAGGGAGCUCGUAAACUCAAUGAAGAGAAUGGUUUUCUCCUAUCUCCCGUUGUUGAAGUUGGCAUUGAGUAUAUAAUGAAAAAAUUGCCGCUAGACUCAAAGAAGGUGAUGCUUCUUUAGAUUCUCGGUAAAGUGGUGUAAGGUUCAGAGUUCAACACAAUCUAGCUCUAGUAGAAAUGGAUUUCAGUUACAAGGAGAGCAGUUAAUUUGGGAAUUUAUUGCUAGGAUUUCACUUGCUUAUACAGUGGCAGUAAGUUGCCUAAAAGAUACCCAACAAGUUGUUUUAGAUCCAUAUGCAAUAUUUGUUAGUUUUUAUUUCUUCCACGUCGCAAAAAGGACACAACUUGCUUACACAGUGGUAGUAAGUUGCCUAAAAGAAGCAUCAAGUUGUUUUAGAUCCAUAUACAAGGCUCCUUAGUUUAGUUUUUUCCCACGUCACAAAAUGACACAACUUGCUUACACAGUGGUAAUAACUUGCCUAAAAGAUUCAAACAAGUUUUUUUAGAUCCAUAUGGAAGGUUCCUUAGUUUUUAUUUCUCUCACAUCACAAAAAGGACACAACUUGCUUACACAGUGGCAGUAAGUUGCCUAAAAGAUACCCAUCAAAUUGUUUCAGAUCCAUAUACAAGGUUCCUUAGUUUAAUUUUCCCCAUGUCACAAAAUGACACGACUUGCUUACAUAGUGGCAGUAACUUGCCUAAAAGAUUACAAACAAGUUGUUUUAGAUCCAUAUGCAAGGUUCCUUAGUUUUUAUUUCUCCCACAUCACAAAAAGGACACAACUUGCUUAUAAAGUGGUAGUAAGUUGCCUAAACAACCUCAUGACCUUCCUACAGUCUUUCAGGGGAUACAUGAUUUGCUCAAUUCAACCCACUUUUUUUGCUUACAAGUGCUCAAGUAGUUGUUUACACCUUUUUUGCACAUUAAGUCUCGAGCACCCUGGAGAACACAGGAGUUGCUCACUGGUAACACUGUUUUUGCUUAAACAAAGUCUACAGGUUGCUACAAGGUGCUCACAUCCUUUUCUUUUCACACAUUAAGUCUCUUUUUUAGGAGCUCUGCCUUUUCAUUAAGAAGAUAAUUGACUAGUUAAUAAAAAAAAAUUGGUCGAAGACGAUACACAUCAAGUUCUAGCACGCACGAGCACACAGGAAUUGCUUACUGGCAAACACUGAUUUUACUUAAACAAACUUUGAAAAUUGUUGCUCUUUUUUUGUUUUUCAACAUACUUGUAGUAAAAAAAAGCAACCUAAGAAAAACAUCGAGGGGUUUUGCUGGAUGUACAACAGCCAGUAGUUGGACAAAGAAAGCUGAAACCGUUUUCAUGUACUGACAUGACUUGCCUAUUGUCAAUUUUGAUUUGCUUAAAAAACUACUAUAGUUAUUCACACUUGUUUCUCCUACACAUCAAGUUCUAGCACGCACGAACACACAAGAGUUGCUUACUGCCAACACUGAUUUUGCUUAAAAACACCCUAGAACUUGUCUCCUCUUUUUUGUUUUCUCAACACACUCCUAGUCAAAAAGUAACCUAAGAAAAGUAUCAGGGGGUUUCUCCGGAUGUACAACAACCAGUAGUUGGAGAAAGGAAAAGGAAACAAUUUUCAUGUACUAUUAGGACUAGCUUUUUGUCAAUACUUGAUCUGCUUAAAAACCCGCUAUAGUUUCUCACUAAACCCGCUAUAUGCGAUAGAGGCGGGAUAGGGAGGUUGAAGAGGGGUGUGUGGGGUCUUAGGUUUCUAGGGCGAAUCGAUGAUUUUUGAAUGCGUGGGUGGUUUGUGGCAUGGGGAUGUGGGGGCUAGAAGGGUCGACAAUUUGAGAAGAAAGUGUCCAAAACUUGCCCAACGCAUGAUGGUUAGUUGCUAGAGAUACCGGCGCGGGUUGCCGAAAGAUCCUCUCCCGAGAGUACUGGGUUUAUUUCGCCCAAAACUUGCCCAAGCCAUGCUAGUUAGUUGCUAGAGAGGCUGGCAUGAGCGGCCCAAAGAUACAUUUUAGAAACAAAUUCAUUUAUAAAUGGAACCAAAGUUUCUAUUUACAAUAGGAUAUGUUGUCUGCAUAUAAACAUUACUUGCCUAAAUCACCAUUAAAAGUUGCCCCAUAUACCACCUGAAUUGCUUCCUAUACAAUUGGUAGCCAACUUAGAAGGCAUGGGAUAAAUAUGUAAUCACGAUAGGCAAUCUACUGCAAAGUUGCUUUCUGUAGCACCAAAGUUGCCCCAGAUGCCAGCAAAGUUGCUUGAAAAAAAGUUCAUCGAAACAUACCCAUAUGAGAUCUUGUUUUGAAGAUCUUGCUGAGAGAACCUAAUGGUGAAAACAGAAAUUAGUUUUGGCGCUCGGUUUAAAAGUUGCAGCUUUUUGAAUUUGCUUGGAAUGAAAUUAAAUGCACGUGAUGCAUUUCUAACUUGUUUGCCGCGUGCUAUUGCAGGAAGGAGUUACAGGAGAUGGAACCACUGGUGGGGCGGUAGAAUUUUUUUCUGUUGAGGGCGAUAGUGUGUAGGAGCAACCUUUCUUGUUUAGGACAAUGUGUGGACAUGUAUUUACUUUUUUGGGGUGUGUGCUCCAGGGGACUAGCCAGCCAACGGUUGCUGGCUAGCCGUGUCCAUUAAAGAAUAGGCAUGAGACGCUAUCAACCAAGCUUUUCAAGUUGUAGAGCAUGCUUGGUGAGGUGCUAUCGCACAGGUUGACAUUCGGUGGCGCGAUUCACACGUACUACUCCGUCGCUGAGUGCAAGCCGGCGCGCCCGACUAGAAGAAACCUGCACCUUCUCAAUAAUGGUGUUUUUUCUUUGGAUGAACCCAGGCAUUAUCAAUUACGAUUUUAUAUUUCUUUAUAAAGGGAGUACCCAGGAGGCUGACAAUGAAUCUGAAUACAUCCGAGAAGAAAGGACGGAGUAUAUGUAUAAGAGAGAAGGAUUCAA
rnacentral:lncRNA from 1 species